GUCUUCUCCCAUGAGUGACGGCGUAAGCACCCUCGUGACGACCUAACAAGCUGAAUGACCCGCCUACUAGUCCCAAUGGCUGAGUAGAAUGGCUGUCGCCUUAAGAAGGCAGCAUGCCUGCCUCAGCUGGCCAUCCAAGCCAGGGGAAAAGGACGAACCCGACCGCGCUCCAGUGAUGCUGCUCUCUUUCUAAACAUUGUAGGCCAGAUAAAUAACUGUGUGAUGAAGUAUCCCCAGCUUGUCUCCACUCCGGCAGUGGUUAAGGAGUGGCUGGAGGCCGAGUUGGAAUGCCUCGGCAUCGACUCGGCCGCCUACGCCCGCACCGUGCUCUCCCUGUUGAGCCGCGACACCAUCGACCCGGCAGAGGUCAUACAGUCCGGCUACGUCCUGAUCGCCAACAAGGGCGGCCGCGGCGCUGGGGGCCUCGGCGGCCCGCACCCGCCCCGGACCAGGGAGGAGGAGCUGAAGCGAGCUGAGGUGAUCGAGUGUCUGCGCUCGGCGUCCGAGGACCACGGCGGCAUCCAGCUGCUGGUCGACCAGCUCAUCAGCAUGCUGAAGCAGCUGCCGGCCUCCUCGGAGCCGAGCGGGGACACGGCGUCCGACAGCAGCCGCCGGCCGGCCACCGGAGACCCGCCGCCGCCCGACGACCCCGUCCUCAGAUACGAGGCGGCGUUUCCGGCGCUGGGCCGCGGGUCUCCGGGAGUCAUCCCGCUGACGUACUUCAGCAAGAUGGGCCGGGCGGCGGCGCCGGCGGCGGCCGGCCUGUGGCGCGCCGACCUGGCGCCGGCCGCCGCCGUCUGGCCUACGACCCUGGACCACCUACGGCUGCUGCUGCCGCAGCCGUCCGAGCAAACAGCACCACUGGAGCCGGCCGGGGGCGCGCCCGCGCCGCCGACACCGCCACCCAAACCGCCCGAGCCGGCCGAGACGGCGCGCAUCAUCCGCCCCUCGGCCGAGACACACUUCCAGCCGAUCCGGCGCGCCAGCGGCGACGACGGCGGCGAGGAUUGGCCGCCGCCGGCCACCUACGACGCGCGGCUCUACAUGCGCUCCGAGAGCGGCGGCCUGUACCUGGAGGAUGAGGGACCGCGCUCAGCCGCCGAGCCACCACAAAAGUACAUGAUCUUCCGCGAGAGACCGACGCUGGCCAUGACCCGUCGCGGCCUGGCGCCCAAAUUCAAGCUAAGCUGCAAUGAAAAGUACUGUCAGACGGACGACCCGGCGACGGCGGACGGCGCCGGCCGAGACCUGCUCCAAAUAUUGGUUUCCGGAGAGCAGGCGGGCGAGGCGUGUGGCGCGGCGGCGGGCGACUCGGACGACGACGACGACUCCAGCUACGAGGUGCUCUCCAGCCUGCAGCAGACGCUGCACAGCAUCUACGAGGACGGCAGCGAGGCGGCGGACAGCGGCGCCGAGCCCGAGCUCGAGCCCGACCAGCCGGUCGAGCCGGCGCCGGCGCGCCGACCGUCGGCGUUCGCGCGCGUGCGCCGUCCGUCGCCGGGCCACCGGCCGCUGUACCUGCGCGGCGGCGGCGCCGACUCGCUGCUGGCGGCCGUGUACACGGGCGGCGACUGGUCGCCCGGCGACGCGGCCGUCUCCGAGCCGGCCGACCACCGGCCGCUGUACGCGCGCCAGCCGACCGGCGCGGCGGCCACCACCACCGGCGAGUUCGCCCAGCACCGGCAGCUCACGUCGGGCCGCAUCAGCAACUCGGUGUACUGGCAGGGGCCGACCGAGUACCCGGCGCUGCGCUACCAGCUGGCCGGCCGCGACCGGCCCGAGGUCACCUUCUGUCGGCUGAGCGGCGACACGCACAGGUCAGGGCCGCUGAAGGAGGACCCGGCCGCCGCCUGGGAGGCUGUAUCGGACGUGGCCCGCUCCUCGCGGGAGGCCAGUGUCUGCAGUGACACGGUCUCGGCCGGCGCCGCCGCUGACACCACCCUGUGGCAGGCGGCCGGCGAGCGUGAGCGGCGCGACCGGUCGGCGGACCGCGCGCUCUGGGAGGCGCGCGCCGCCGCCGGCCGCCGGCGCAGCUCGGUGGACAGUGCCGUCUGGGAGCAGGAGCCGGCGGCCGGCCUGUGGGAGGCGCCGCGCGGUCUGCACGAGCCGGAGGGCGGCUCGGACCUGGGCGCGCUCUGGGAGCCGGCGGCCGGUCUGGCGGAGCCGGAAGACGGCGCCGAGCCGGCCGCGCUGUGGGAGACGCCGCGCGGCCUCGCCGAACCAGAGGACGUGUCGGAGCUGGCGGUCUGGGAGACGCGCCGCGGCCGCGCCGAACGCGAGAGCUCGGUCGAGAUGACCAUAUGGGAAACAUCUGGAGAGCAGUCGGCAGCCACCGAGGCGCCGCCGGCCAACAUCUGGGAGUCGGGCUCGGCUCCGGCGUCCGGAAACACCUCAAUGGACGCGCGCUGGGCUCCUCGGGAGCUCGUUCAACGGGAGAAGUCGGUGGAAGAGGUGUGCUGGGAGUUCUCUGACGACCUGUCUCAGCGAGACAACUCGGUGGAGGACCCGGCCGCGGACGCGCGCUGGCAUGUGCCGCGCGGCCAGGGCGCCGGCGAGCGCAGCCUCUGGGAGUCUCCGGCCGAGCUGGCGCAGUGCGACCGCUCCAUCGAGGAGGCCAUCUGGGAGGCGCGCGACGAGCCAGCGCCGCGACACGACGGCUCGACCGAGAGGAGCCUCUGGGAGGCGGGCGGCGCCGCGCCGCAGGAGCCGGCGCCCUGGGGCGUGCCGGCCGGCCUGGCGCGGCAGCGGUCCGCCGAGCCGGCGCUGUGGCCGGCCGAGCCGCCGCGCUGGGAGGCCGACGAGGGCUCCGGCUGGCCCGCCUGGGACGACCCGCCGGUCGGCGCGCCCGAGCGCAUCUGGCGCCGCUCGGAGCCGGCGGCCGGCCUGCCCGAGUGGGGCGGCGCGCUGCCGGCGGCGUCCGACGGCGGCGGCGGCGGCGUCGAGGAGGGUGACGAGGAGGAGAUGCGCCGCCUGCUCUGGCGGCUCGGUGGGGACGACGUGCUCGCCCAGACCGGGCUCUACACGGCCGACAUCGCAGACGCCGCCAGGGGCUGGGAGUUUAUCGACGAGAACAACGUCAAAAACAAGAUCGACGCUCAUGCCGGCUCUGACGGCGGCCCGCUGUGUCCGCAGGCCGGCUCUGACGGCGGCCCGCUGGCCUCCGAGCUGGCUGACGGCGAGUCGGGCUGGCGUGUGCUGCCGGCGCUGCGUCAGCUCUCGGAGCGGCUCGGCCUGACCGAGGGCGCGCCGCUGCCCGACGGCGUGGCGCUCAAGGCCUGGACGCUGGAGGAACAGUGGCGCCGCGACGAGGGGCCACAGCGGCCGGCCCGCGACCGGCGAGUCAGGAGGUCUGACCGCAAGCGUCCCUGUAGCUAUUUUAUGGAAGGCAACUGCAAGCGGAACGAUUGUAAAUUCUCGCACGACCUGUCCGCAAUCACGUGCGUGUUUUGGGAGGAGAGCGGCUGCUUCAAGGGCGUGCACUGUCCCUUCCUCCACGGCUACCCGGCGGACGAUGAGGAGGACGAGGAUUCGAGCGACUCGGCCAAACGGGCCGUGCCCAAAAAGUCAUUCAAACUGGAAAAAGAAGACUUUCCUUCCCUUCACAACACGAAAAAAUGGCACAGAAAUGAUGAGGAUGAUAACCGGAAGGUGGGCCGGCGCAACUGUCGGCGGCACAAGUCGUUCUCGGACGCCACGCUGGGCGUCGGCGGCGGCGAGCCAGAGCUGCCCCGGCCGACCAUCGGCGGCCGCGGCAAGCGGCGCCGCCACCACUCCAAGAGCGAGGGCGUGCGGCCGACCGACACGGGCGCGCGCCGGCCGUGACCGCCGCUAGACGAGCAAUGUUCGCCCAGACGGACCGGGCUGCGCGGGGAGGCGCGAGUAGCGCAGGGCGUGAGCGAGCGUCGGUACAGCCGUGUCUCUGAGCGUAUGAGAGAGAUGGAUGAGAGAAAGUGAGCGAGUGAGUGAGUGUAUGAAUGAAUGACUGAGUGAGCGAGUGAGUGCGUGCGUGAAAGAAUGAAUGAAUGAAUGAAUGAGUGCGCGAUUGAGUCAGGGACAGCAAACGAGUGAGAACAGUGAGCUGAUGCGGCUGUGUGCGGGUCGUGAGGAGAGGAGAGUGACGGGCUCGGAGAGCGAGGACGGGAGGACGGGAGUGAGGCGGCUGAGCUGGUGGGGCGAUUCGUGGGCCCGGGUGCUCGGGCGGACGGACGGACCAGCCGCGCGCUCGGCCGCGCCCCACCAACCCGGGCCCGCUCCCCAUGUAUUAUGUGCAAGCUUCGCUGACAAAACUAUUAACUCAUUGUUUUGUAGUGGGCGAUCGGUUGGAAUUUGUCGUCCCACCCUUAUCAAGCGCGGAGUGUUCUAAUCCAGAGGCCUGCGAAGUCGGAACCCCACAAAACAAAGAGCUUAACCAGUACGACCUUGUCGGCCCACACCUAUACCCGCCGUGCUUGCAUACACCCAGAAAGGAGUGUGCGGUCCAAAAUUGUAGGUGUUUAGUGUAGACGACUGCAGGCCGAGCUGUGGGCACACCAAAGCCAGCUCUGAACGAAAGCCAGCGGCUGCUGAUGCGAGGGAUGAGUCAGACUGUCGCCGACCGUCACCGAGCUAGGACAAAUGAACGAUAGUAGAUUAGCAGCAACUUUUGUCAGCCUCACGCAUUGUUUUGUUCCUCCUGUUCUUCGUCUUACCAAACACGUUGUGUAAGUGUUCUAGUUUCCUUCACACCAAAGUCGGCGUCGCCGCGGCUGCGGACGCCCGUGGACGGAGACACACAAAUGGAAGCCCAGUCCGACGCAAAUAAACGUCAAACCUUG
rnacentral:misc_RNA from 1 species